GGGAAACCGGGGCUAAUACCGGAUGGUUGUCUGAACCGCAUGGUUCAGACAUAAAAGGUGGCUUCGGCUACCACUUACAGAUGGACCCGCGGCGCAUUAGCUAGUUGGUGAGGUAACGGCUCACCAAGGCGACGAUGCGUAGCCGACCUGAGAGGGUGAUCGGCCACACUGGGACUGAGACACGGCCCAGACUCCUACGGGAGGCAGCAGUAGGGAAUCUUCCGCAAUGGACGAAAGUCUGACGGAGCAACGCCGCGUGAGUGAUGAAGGUUUUCGGAUCGUAAAGCUCUGUUGUUAGGGAAGAACAAGUGCCGUUCAAAUAGGGCGGCACCUUGACGGUACCUAACCAGAAAGCCACGGCUAACUACGUGCCAGCAGCCGCGGUAAUACGUAGGUGGCAAGCGUUGUCCGGAAUUAUUGGGCGUAAAGGGCUCGCAGGCGGUUUCUUAAGUCUGAUGUGAAAGCCCCCGGCUCAACCGGGGAGGGUCAUUGGAAACUGGGGAACUUGAGUGCAGAAGAGGAGAGUGGAAUUCCACGUGUAGCGGUGAAAUGCGUAGAGAUGUGGAGGAACACCAGUGGCGAAGGCGACUCUCUGGUCUGUAACUGACGCUGAGGAGCGAAAGCGUGGGGAGCGAACAGGAUUAGAUACCCUGGUAGUCCACGCCGUAAACGAUGAGUGCUAAGUGUUAGGGGGUUUCCGCCCCUUAGUGCUGCAGCUAACGCAUUAAGCACUCCGCCUGGGGAGUACGGUCGCAAGACUGAAACUCAAAGGAAUUGACGGGGGCCCGCACAAGCGGUGGAGCAUGUGGUUUAAUUCGAAGCAACGCGAAGAACCUUACCAGGUCUUGACAUCCUCUGACAAUCCUAGAGAUAGGACGUCCCCUUCGGGGGCAGAGUGACAGGUGGUGCAUGGUUGUCGUCAGCUCGUGUCGUGAGAUGUUGGGUUAAGUCCCGCAACGAGCGCAACCCUUGAUCUUAGUUGCCAGCAUUCAGUUGGGCACUCUAAGGUGACUGCCGGUGACAAACCGGAGGAAGGUGGGGAUGACGUCAAAUCAUCAUGCCCCUUAUGACCUGGGCUACACACGUGCUACAAUGGACAGAACAAAGGGCAGCGAAACCGCGAGGUUAAGCCAAUCCCACAAAUCUGUUCUCAGUUCGGAUCGCAGUCUGCAACUCGACUGCGUGAAGCUGGAAUCGCUAGUAAUCGCGGAUCAGCAUGCCGCGGUGAAUA
rnacentral:rRNA from 1 species